UGAUACUUUUCUGUUUGUAUUUGGUUUUAACAUUUUGCUUCCUUGAAAACAAAAUAUUGCUGGGCAUGGAGUUUUAGAGUUGGGGAGUAUGGUCAUUGAGGUUUGUUACCAAGGCACAAUUCCGGCAAGGUUUCUGGUUUAACAAUGAAAUGCAUAAUACUAAAAAAUGAGAGGAAGUGAUAUAUCUGGUUAUAAAUAGGAGAUUUCAAAUAUUAUUGGCUAAAGCAAGAGAUGCGCAUUUUUCACCACUAAGCAAAUGCUAAAAUAAUAUCUAGCUUAUAAACUUGUAAGUUUCCUAAUCCAGUUUCCGUUGCUGUCUGAGUAGUUUCCCCUCAAUUAAGUUGUCAUAUUCAUGUUCAUUUUAUGCUAGUAUGUGAUUUUGAUAUUAGCCUCUGUUGAUUGGGCUGCCUCCCUAUUCUUGGUUGGCCCAACUUGAGAAAUAUUGGGCCUGGCCGGGUUGAAUCCUUUUAUGGGAAAUGAAAGGCGUUUUUUUGUAAACGCGUUUUUUUCUUUUUACAAUCGCAAGAUCUGUGGACCAUGCACCUGGCAUCUUUGUGACCGUUGGAUUGUUGAUUUUUGGUGGAUUUUUAAAAGGCAUCGUGCCUCUUCAUUUUCAUUCUGAUCUCUGAGUGAAUGGUUCUAGGGUUUUCUUUGUCUUCUCUCUGAGGGUUUUCUGAACUUGUCAUGUUCUUAUAAUUUCUGAAAGCAAUCUCUAAUCUGAGCGAUGUUAGGGUUAUAUAUGAUAUAUGAUCAGUGAGAUUGUAGAAACUGAGUGGUAUGUUAAGAGAGGCGAUAGAAAUCUGAUAUUGAAGAAAGGACAGUUUCUUCAUACAUUCUUGUAUCGAUUCUUUGUGAUUCUUAGUGGAUUCGAGCUUAAUCUACUUUUGUAGAUGUUCAACGGGUGAGUAGGCCUUUGGCUGAACAUCCGGGCCCUUAGGGGCGAAAAAUACUUGUGUUCUUUACGAUUCUGUAAAUUUUUUAUGAUUUUGCUGUAAUCGUUUUUAGAAAAGAUUAAUCCUGAGACCAACAGCCUCUCCAUGUCUCAGCCUUCAGGCAAAGAAUUGAUUUCUUUAUGUAGAACACAUUACAUGGUCAUCAUUGAUUAACCAACUCGCUAUAAAUAGUCGAUGUAUGGGUCAACUGCUUCCAAAACAGUGUAAUGAGCUUUAGUCUUUAGCAUAUGUGAGCAUUAGACCGUGACAACUGAAACAAAAUCCUUGUUUCCUUCAAUGUGAAGCAGGGGAAUAGCUUCGCAAAACAAGGUUGAACAUGGUCAAGACAUUUUUGUGCAGUAGAAUAUGGCAACUCAAGUGUUGCAUCCUUAGAAACCACGGCAGAGUAAUGAGAUGCCCUAGUGUUUUUACAUUUAUAAAGAAAGGAAAGGAAAUGACAUCAUUCUUCCCUGUCAUUUUGUUUCUCUUAAAUUUAAGCAUCCAUUAGAUUCAUAAUGUGCAAUAUCAUACAAUUUCAAAAAUCUUUUGAUUUGAUAUGUCCCCAUCUUCGGCUUGAGAAAUGCUUCCAAUAGUCAAGUGUUUUAAUCACACUCUACUUCUCCUACUAAGGAUAUAAUGAACAGAAUGAAAAGGGAAUUACGGAAGAAAGGAAAAAAGAAAUACAUGAGAUAUGAGCUAUCUGCAGGAAGGAAGGUCGACAAAAACAACAAAAAUAUCAUAGUCAAUUUUGUAAUUCAAUUCUGUUUAGUUUUAUAAGCUUGAUU
rnacentral:lncRNA from 1 species